rnacentral:rRNA from 4 species
GGGUUGUGAGGUUAAGCGACUAAGCGUACACGGUGGAUGCCCUGGCAGUCAGAGGCGAUGAAGGGCGUGCUAAUCUGCGAUAAGCGCCGGUAAGGUGAUAUGAACCGUUAUAACCGGCGAUACCCGAAUGGGGAAACCCAGUGUGACUCGUCACACUAUCAUUAACUGAAUCCAUAGGUUAAUGAGGCGAACCGGGGGAACUGAAACAUCUAAGUACCCCGAGGAAAAGAAAUCAACCGAGAUUCCCCCAGUAGCGGCGAGCGAACGGGGAGGAGCCCAGAGCCUGAAUCAGCAUGUGUGUUAGUGGAAGCGUCUGGAAAGGCGCGCGAUACAGGGUGACAGCCCCGUACACAAAAGCGCAUGUGCUGUGAGCUCGAUGAGUAGGGCGGGACACGUGGUAUCCUGUCUGAAUAUGGGGGGACCAUCCUCCAAGGCUAAAUACUCCUGACUGACCGAUAGUGAACCAGUACCGUGAGGGAAAGGCGAAAAGAACCCCGGCGAGGGGAGUGAAAAAGAACCUGAAACCGUGUACGUACAAGCAGUGGGAGCACAGGUUUACCUGUGUGACUGCGUACCUUUUGUAUAAUGGGUCAGCGACUUAU